CCAGCACAGAAGUUGCCCUUUGGCCCGUUGAGUCUGGACUGAGUAUAUCACCUGUGGAGAGAGAAAGUGCUGAGCUGAGUUUGGCUCAAUAUGCCAUCGGACCAAGAUGCAGAGACUGCUAGCAAACUCCUGCAUAGCAAGACGCCAGCAUCCCCCUCCAUUUGCUCCCAAGGUCAGCAGGAGUUCAGGACUAGAGCUAAGAAUCCAAGACCAACUUUCUUCAAAAAUGUAAGUGUGCCAGAUCCCAGGCUCUCAGCUCAAGAGGGUGUGUUGGUGGAGAAACCAGGAGUGUUUCAACGACAAAACUCCGUCUCAAAAACCAUC